rnacentral:rRNA from 1 species
ACGUAGGCAGCGAGCGUUGUUCGGAAUUACUGGGCGUAAAGAGUGUGUAGGCGGUGUUCCCAGUCUGUUGUGAAAUCUCCCGGCUUAACUGGGAGGGUGCAGCGGAAACUAGAAUGCUAGAGGGUGGGAGAGGUAAGCGGAAUUCCUGGUGUAGCGGUGAAAUGCGUAGAUAUCAGGAGGAACACCUGUGGUGUAGACAGCUUACUGGACCACUUCUGACGCUGAGACACGAAAGCGUGGGUAGCAAACAGGAUUAGAUACCCUGGUAGUCCACGCCCUAAACGAUGCAUACUUGGUGUGAGCGAUUCAUUUCGUUCGUGCCGGAGCUAACGCGUUAAGUAUGCCGCCUGGGGAGUACGGUCGCAAGGCUG